UCCCUGCCUCCCGAUCUCAUCUCGACCUCCAGACUCGAGCGCUUCGCCGCCUCCCGCCGGCCGCCCCCCUCUCCCCCCGUCGCCGCGCGCAGCCACCGACGCCGUGGCCGUUGGCGGCUCCCCCCGCCCCUGCUACCAUGGUGCCGCCGGGACUCCUCCCCGCUGCUGAAAUUCCCCAUCGCCAUCCCAAGGGCCUCGCCCGCCGCGCUCCCCUGGACCCUGAGCGCCGCCGCCCCAGCCACCCUCGAGCCUCCACCAGGUGACCCCAGGCGCCGCUGAUCCCGUGUGCUGCUGCUCGAAGAUUCCCCUGCUUGCUGCCCUCUCCCUCCCACUCCACGGUGCACGGGGCAGGGGGAACUGGGUGGCGGCGGCAUGAUCUCCGGUAAGCGGCGGGGCCUAGCGGCGGGGCCGGGAUCCGGUGGCGGCGGCAAGCUCCUGUAGGUAGGCGACGAGCGAGAGAGAGGGAUUGAGAGAAGGGGAGAGAGAUGGAAGGAAGGAGAAGAAGACGAGCAUGGGCAGUGGGGCGUAGGAGAGAGAGAGGGCGGAGGCAAGGAGGAUAAGGACAGAUGGCAGGGGGCGGCCUGUGUGAUUGCUCCGGUGAUGGCGUCCGGCGUAGGUUCAUACCUCGGCGCGCAGCCGCAAUCCCUCCCCUCCACCGUCUCCACGUGGUGUAGGCUGCUGCAAUCUCGCUAUCCCAGCGAUAUCCCAGAUGCGCGCCACAGCCAGCCAACAAGACCACUAUGUAGCUCAGGCCCAGAAUUGGUCAAUUUUAUACAGCUGCAAUACACAACGACACACAAAAUAGAUGCUCCUAGGCUCGAUCUUUCUACUGCAACAUACUCGCCCAAUACUUAUUAUCGCACUUUUCUCAACUAACCAUACUCUGUCCCUUGAGGAGGAUUUCAGGGGAGAUCGACUACUGUAAGUCUGUGACGAUAACAAGAGGCUGAUAUUUGAGCUGGACUCUUGCGGACAACAGGUUCAGGAGCUCCAAGCCAACAACGGCCAUUGCCUUGAAAAAGAUGUAAGAUUUCUACUAUCUAGCUUCUGUCACAAGAUUUGCUAUAGCCUGUUAUUUUGUAUGGCAGUCAGUUUUGUUGUAAGAAUGAGUAAUAGAUCUAUUGUUCAAUUCUUGUUUGAGAUAGAAUACAAGUUAUGUUAAAUAUUCAAUGUUUAUUGAACAUGACCAUAGUGGAAAAGGCUUUAAAGAUAAGAGAUGAGAUAUUUUUUCCUUUAACAGUUCAAUUUCUGAAAAAAAUUCAACACAAUAGCCGAAUUUAUUCCAAUUUUCACAUAUAAUACUUGCCGCUAAGAACUUAUAGGUAUAUGCUUUCACAUGCAGUCCUGUCUUUGCUAACACGUAUGGUGUCAGUUUAGAAAGACCUAUGUAAUGUUGUUUUGAUUCUUGGCUUUAGGGGAAAAGGGAUAGGUUCAGAAAAUAUUUAUCUAGAAUAGAUGUAUAUUUAUGUAAGAGGAUAGAUGUACUUACUUACAGAACUACAGUAUGCUGCAGUUGCUAGGGACUGUAGAUUACGGUUCUAAUUCAUUCUUUUGCAUUUCAGUCUGUCAUUCAUUGUUACUUGAAUGUUUCUCUUUUUGUGAUCUCCCAUAGAAGCUUUUUGUUUGUUUUUUCACUGGAACAGCUCUACACGCCUUGUGAAAUUUCUGAUGUAGUUUGGAAAUAUGAGUGAGAACUGCAAGUACGUUGAUACUGCCCUCUAUGUAUUGAAUCCAAGGAUUUUUUUAAUAUAUAUUCUUUUUGUUAAUUUCAAGGGAGGAAGAGAACUCCAGUACUAUGGUAAUGUUCUUGAUUCUGAUUCUCCAUGAUUGAUAAUGUUGUUUAGGACCCUAAGCUUUGUCAUGGCUGAUUUAAAUAGGCACAGCUGGUUUAGAAGGAAAGCACUGCUACUAAUUUUAGAACUAGGAUGUCGUAUUUGACAGCUGUCAGGUAUUGCUUAUUUGCAUUGUAAGAUCACAAUUCUAAGGUUAAUCUUUUUAGUUGUGUAGCAUUGCAUAUUUGGGUCCUUGAAUUCUCUCCUCGAAGAUCAACACAUUUGGUCAGAUUUGGCUUAUUUAAUAAUUAGCAAACAAUAAAUAUUGAACAUCUAUUCAGUGCGACAUUUCUUACGGAUGGUCAGGUCGACAGCGGCAACAUCGUCUUCAUUGUACCAAGGUGCUGCUGCUACUACAACGGCAACCUCCUACUUCCCGAACAUGACCAUUGCAGCUAUCCUUGCUGUAAAUUUUGUCUCUUUUCUUUCUCAUAAAUUAUGGACAUAUGGGCAUUCUGAUCAGGUAACGUUCUUCUCUAAGAUUUGAUAUUUGAAGCAUGAUGUUUGCGAUCAGGUAAUUUUCCUAGGGUCUUUCAGAUGUCAAUGUUGAUGGAAAAUACACAUGUUGCAUACCUUUUUUGAAAUCAGAAGUGGAUACUAACAUUUCACAUCAUGACAUUGUAGUUUAUAGUGCUAAGCUUGACUCCUCCAUGGUUAUAAUAAUGGACUUACAGUGAGUUGAUUUGUAGUUAACUUUGUCAUUAAGUGGCUGGCUUUUAUCUGAACAAUGCAGUCUUGCAUUCUCUAGGGAGCCAGAGCAAGUCCUUCCUUCCGAUUUGAAUUUGGGGAUUCGAUGAUUUCUGUCGGAUAUAUCAUGUCUAUUUGAUCAGAAAACAUGAGAUGCAAAACAUGUUUUUCCAGCAGAAAUGAAUUCAUGGACUGGAACUCCUACAGAUUUGAAGUUGUAUGCUGGAUCGACUGCAUAUUUUAUUAAGGGUUUAUCAGUUCAUCAUUCCCAUUAGUUCAAUCGUGGCUGCAGUAACGAGUUUGCCACUACUUCAAUGGAUAUAAUGGAGCAUAGUCGUCAUUAUGUAUGCAAAAGCAUGUAUCAAAAUUUGAAUUACCACGGCGCAUUUAAUUCUCUUGGAGUACUAAACAGUCAUGCGGCUCUCCACAGAUUUCUUCCAAAUGCCUUGCAAAGUUCCGCAGAGAACAAGCUAUCACGGAAUUUCUUCCAAAUGCAGCAAGUUCCGAGCAAGCAAAACUAUACUCUGUAAAUAAUCUUCCUGAACCAGAGUUCUUAAUUUUAUUUCUAUUUUUACCUUUUCCUGUACUGGAUUUUAAUGUACUGAACACUCUCCUUAAUCAAUGGGAGCAACACCUGAUUGCCUUCAUAUAAAGAAACACAAUGUAAACACAUACGAGGCGAUGUAUAGCUAGCAGGAACAGGACAAAAAUGCUGCUCGAAGGUGAGUGGAAGUGCAUGAUUUUCUAGAUUUAUUUUCUUGACAGAAGUUACUAUAUUCUCAAUAUACGUCACAGUUGUAAUCAUCUAAAAA